AGAGUUUGAUCCUGGCUCAGGACAAACGCUGGCGGCGUGCUUAAUACAUGCAAGUCUUACGAGAAAGUCAAGCUUCGGUUUGGCGAGUAAAGUGGCGAACGGGUGAGUAACACGUAGGCAACCUGCCCUUAAGUUGGGGAUAACUGUGCUAACGCGCAGCUAAUACCGAAUAAGGUGUUUUUUUCGCAUGAAAGAAAUAUUAAAGCUGGGCUUCGGCCUAGCGUUUAAGGAUGGGCCUGCGUUCCAUUAGCUUGUUGGUAAGGUAACGGCUUACCAAGGCUACGAUGGAUAGCCGAUCUGAGAGGAUGAUCGGCCACACUGGGACUGAGAUACGGCCCAGACUCCUACGGGAGGCAGCAGUAGGGAAUUUUGCGCAAUGGCCGAAAGGCUGACGCAGCAACGCCGCGUGGGUGAUGAAGCUUUACGGAGUGUAAAACCCUGUUAGAAGGGACGAACAAGUUCCAUGUGAAUAAUUUGGAACUCUGACGGUACCUUCAGAGAAAGCUCCGGCUAACUCCGUGCCAGCAGCCGCGGUAAUACGGGGGGAGCAAGCGUUGUCCGGAUUUACUGGGCGUAAGGAGGAUGUAGGCGGGUUUGCAAGUCAGAAGUGAAAUCCAACGGCUUAACCGUUGAAUUGCUUUUGAAACUGCAGAUCUUGAGUGCAGUAGAGGAAGGCGGAAUUCCAGGUGUAGCGGUGAAAUGCGUAGAUAUCUGGAAGAAUACCGGUAGCGAAGGCUGCUUUCUGGCCUGUCACUGACGCUGAGAUCCGAAAGCGUGGGGAGCGAACAGGAUUAGAUACCCUGGUAGUCCACGCCGUAAACGUUGAACACUAGGUGUUGGGGGAUUCGGUCCCUUCAGCGCCGGAGCUAACGCAUUAAGUGUUCCGCCUGGGGAGUACGAUCGCAAGGUUGAAACUCAAAGGAAUUGACGGGGGCCCGCACAAGCGGUGGAGCAUGUGGUUUAAUUCGAUUCAACGCGAAGAACCUUACCUGGGCUUGAAAAGCAAUUGAUCAUCUCGGGAAACCGAGACUUCCUUCGGGACAAUUGUACAGGUGCUGCAUGGCUAUCGUCAGCUCGUGUCGUGAGAUGUUGGGUUAAGUCCCGCAACGAGCGCAACCCUUGUCCUUAGUUGCCUUCAGGUUAUGCUGGGCACUCUAAGGAGACUGCCGACUUUAAGUCGGAGGAAGGUGGGGACGACGUCAAGUCAUCAUGGUCUUUAUGUCCAGGGCUACACACGUGCUACAAUGGCUAGUACAGAGGGGUGCAAUGCCGCGAGGUGGAGCAAAUCCCAAAAAGCUAGUCUCAGUUCGGAUUGGAGUCUGCAACUCGACUCCAUGAAGUUGGAAUCGCUAGUAAUCGCAGAUCAGCAUGCUGCGGUGAAUACGUUCCCGGGCCUUGUG
rnacentral:rRNA from 1 species